UGCUCAGGACGAACGCUGGCGGCGUGCCUAAUACAUGCAAGUCGAGCGAACUUGCGGGAGCUUGCUCCCAAAAGUUAGCGGCGGACGGGUGAGUAACACGUGGGCAACCUGCCUGUAAGACUGGGAUAACUUCGGGAAACCGGAGCUAAUACCGGAUAAUUCUUUUCUACUCAUGUAGGAAAGCUGAAAGAUGGCUUCGGCUAUCACUUACAGAUGGGCCCGCGGCGCAUUAGCUAGUUGGUGAGGUAACGGCUCACCAAGGCAACGAUGCGUAGCCGACCUGAGAGGGUGAUCGGCCACACUGGGACUGAGACACGGCCCAGACUCCUACGGGAGGCAGCAGUAGGGAAUCUUCCGCAAUGGACGAAAGUCUGACGGAGCAACGCCGCGUGAGUGAUGAAGGUUUUCGGAUCGUAAAACUCUGUUGUUAGGGAAGAACAAGUACCGUUCGAAUAGGGCGGUACCUUGACGGUACCUAACCAGAAAGCCACGGCUAACUACGUGCCAGCAGCCGCGGUAAUACGUAGGUGGCAAGCGUUGUCCGGAAUUAUUGGGCGUAAAGCGCGCGCAGGCGGUCCUUUAAGUCUGAUGUGAAAGCCCACGGCUCAACCGUGGAGGGUCAUUGGAAACUGGGGGACUUGAGUGCAGAAGAGGAGAGUGGAAUUCCACGUGUAGCGGUGAAAUGCGUAGAGAUGUGGAGGAACACCAGUGGCGAAGGCGACUCUCUGGUCUGUAACUGACGCUGAGGCGCGAAAGC
rnacentral:rRNA from 1 species